AAACAAAUUGUCUUCAGCCCUACUUACUUAUAGGCUGACUUGGCCCAGGAAACAAGGUUCUAUUAGGCUUGCAGGGCUUAAAAAAGAAUGAGCUAGAUCGCAGGUAUUAGGAUACGAGGUAGUAGCAGGGUCUAGUCGAAGCGGUGCGCAAAGUGUACAAAGGCGAGUCUCACGGGCAGCGGCACGUGAGGGGUCUCCCGAACUUCAUGAAAGACGCAGUUAGGGAGUUGGAAGAUGCACUUUGGACUCCUGCACCAGUAAGAAUGGAACUGGAAUAAAAAGUCGGGAUAGCUAGUCACUCCGUUACUGAGGAAAGAGAGGAUGACAUUUCCAUAAGUAGACUCUCCUUACUGAAUCCUUAUCCUGCCCUCUCUACUCGGGAACAAUUCAUUCUUAACUCGUACAUAAGUUUCGGGCGUCGACAAGAGAGUUAGCGAUCUACAGCUGGUUCGGUGGACUGGUGGUGACACGGGCGGGCCCUCUACUUUAUUUGCCGAAUCCAAUCGAUCAUGGGCGGCCCUCUUCGUUCACAGUCUUUCUUUCCUUUCGAAUCCAAUUGUUCCAAUCUGACCAAAUAGCAAUUCAUUGAAAUCAUUCGGGUCACCUCUUUUUGAAGCACUUGACCAAGCCUAUUUUUAUAGAAAAGGACAGGAAUCUAUUGACUUUGAGUUUGUCUCCCACUACGAAAUUGGAACUGAACACAGGAUGGCAAUAGUGAGAAAAAAAUCCCCUCGUUCUACGUCAUUAUUUAUUCUAUUUUCCCUGGUAAGUGCUCCAGAUGCAGUUGCUUUAGUUGACGUAGUGAGCGGAACCUAAUUAUCUGUUUCCUUGAAUACCAGAGUUGCCUUUUGUAGAUGAGAAAGCCAACAAUUUUGCAAGGAGUUGAUAAUUGCACUUGAAGUAGUAAGUUUAAAGACAGUUGAAACUUAAUGGCACCGUUUAACCAAGCACUCUUGUAGCUUCGGAAACUCUGUGAUCAGAUCGGUGAGGCAAGAGACGAAUUCAUCGUCAAUUACCUCCACGAUAUCCAAAAUACCCUCCAGACCAUGAAGACAGAUAAUGAGAGUCAGGUUCAAACAAUUCAAGGAUUGUAAAUACCAUAACAGUAAAGUAGAAUGCACCAAAAUUUUCCUAUUACCGGUUCCAGGAAGAGCACACCAAAUGAAAGAAACUAUUACUCAAAAAGCGAAUCACAUCUCGAUCCACAAACCGCCAAAAGCCUUUGUUAUUCCAUUCCCAGUGGAACGUCAACCUGUUUAACAACAAUUUUCUAAGAAACUUGCUGAAUUCUAAAUGAAACAACCUUAUUUUCAAGUGACAGGCAAUAUCCAUUUCAACCAAUUAUUAAAGAUAAAAGGGCUAACUGCACAGCUAAUUGAAUUCCUUUUCGAGGUUGAGUUCAUCUUGAAACCGCAUUUGCUUCCUAAUUAA
rnacentral:lncRNA from 1 species